rnacentral:tRNA from 1 species
GUCUUUUUAGUAUAAUUAGUAUAAAUGACUUCCAAUCAUUUGAUCUUGGUUAAAGUCUAAGAAAAGAUA